UCGGGAAUUUUGGGCAAUGGGCGAAAGCCUGACCCAGCAACGCCGCGUGAGGGAUGAAGUAUUUCGGUAUGUAAACCUCGAAAGAAUGGGAAGAAUAAAUGACGGUACCAUUUAUAAGCUCCGGCUAACUACGUGCCAGCAGCCGCGGUAAUACGUAGGGAGCAAGCGUUGUUCGGAUUUACUGGGCGUAAAGGGCGCGUAGGCGGCGCGGUAAGUCACUUGUGAAAUCUCUGAGCUUAACUCAGAACGGCCAAGUGAUACUGCUGUGCUAGAGUGCGGAAGAGGCAACCGGAAUUCUUGGUGUAGCGGAGAAAUGCGUAGAUAUCAAGAGGAACACCUGAGGCGAAGGCGGGUUGCUGGGCCGACACUGACGCUGAUGCGCGAAAGCCAGGGGAGCAAAC
rnacentral:rRNA from 1 species